UUCUAAAAAUCAUUAGUUUGACAUUUGAAACAUGUAGCUCAUAUUACUCUGGUGAGCGAUCCAGGGUCAUCAUGACCCUCUUGUUUAAGAUACAGCCUUGAAAUUUGGAUGACAUGUACAGUUUUGCACACCGAUCUUAAAACUGACUUCCAGUGACCAUGAAUUUUACCUACUGACCUACUUUCCAAUAUUUUAGCAUCAGUUUGCCAUUUUAAACAUGUGGCUCAUAUUACUCAGGUGAGCGAUUCAGGGUCAUCAUGACCCUCUUGUUUUAGUGUUUUAAGGAUUCUCUUUAGAAAUGAAAGUAUUUUGAUGCUACACUUACAUAAGGACAUAUACCAGAUAAGUUUACCCUCAAGGUGACUUUGCUUUGUACUAUUUUAAUAUUGUGGUAUAGUUAAAUGACACUAUUCUGUUCCAUUUAAGAGUUUAUUUUAGUCAGCGGAAUAUUUUGGCAAGAUGGAAAACUAGGAAGUUCCUCAAUUCAUUAAUCUUGUAGGACAGUGUUUUUCUGUAUGAUAAACAUUAUGCAAGCUUUGACAAUACCAGCUGUUAAAUCUAUGAAUAAAUUGCUGUUAGUAACAAUGGUUGAAAGUAUGUUGUUUGUCUAAUAUUUCUUGCAUAGUCCCUUUAAAGAGACAAAGAACACUUGAUAUUAUGAUGAGAACUUUUUUCUUGGGCAUAGAAAAUCUGACAUUAUUCAUUAGCGCCAUGUAGCCAUAACAACCAACAUAAUUGCACAGAAAAUACAGAUUUUUUUUCUACCUGUCAAACAAUUCUUAAUCAUAGCUGUUAUAAUAAACACAAGUGAGCCGUGCCAUGAGAAAACCAACAUAGUGGGUGUGUGACCAGCAUGGAUCCAGACCAGCCUGCGCAUCCGUGCAGUCUGGUCAGGAUCCAUGCUGUUCGCUAACAGUUUCUCCAAUUCCAAUAGGCUUUAAAAGCGAACAGCAUGGAGCCUGACCAGACUGCGGGGAUGCGCAGGCUGGUCUGGAUCCAUGCUGGUCGCACACCCACUAUGUUGGUUCUGUCAUGACACGGCUCAAGUCAUGUUUUGGAUACCUGGUAUUGGUGAACAUUAACAACACUUAAUAACACUUUGUAUAUUUGUUUUAACCAAGUGAAAUUCUUGAUACCAAUACAUGUAUUGGAAAAAACCUUGUUUAUAAUUCAUUAUUACCAUUGAUUGGUGAUCAAAUGAAAGUUACAGUGUCAAUAUACUACAGUUAGUUUUUGUUCCAACAAUGAUUUACUCUGUCAAUAAUUUAUCACUCUGGUAUUCAUUGUAGUUAUCACUUUCUUUAUUUGGUCAUGUACGUCUGCUUGAUAAAAGCAGGCGAUUGUGAUAGGUUCUCGCGUUUGGUUUGCAGGCUUUGUCAGCAAUUUCUGUAACAUGUAAAAUAAGUUUAGAAAUCCAGUUGUCUAACAAUGUCAUGAAUUCAGCAGUAAGGAAAAUUUUACCUAGGGUUCUGGCUGCUUGUUUUAUUUCAUCAGUUUCCUGUAUAUUUGUUCUAUUACACAUUUCUUACUCAGAUACUGUAUAAUUUCCAUAUGCUAAACUUUGAUCAAACCAUGACAGUUCUGUUUUUUUUCUCAGUUCUAAAUUUGAUUUUUAAGGGAAAAGGAUUCUGUCAUUUCUCUGAUUGAACUAUGAUACAGGUCUUCAUGUUUUACUAUAAAUUCAUCAUUAUUGUAAGAGACUGUAUAGGUAGAUGGUAUCUUUAUUUGGAUAUUUGUGAAUUGAUGUUACUUGAUGAGUCACACUUAAUUGAAUUGACUGCUUUUUAACCAUUAGACAUUGAUGACUUAUGCUGAAACGUCUUUUAGGUUCGAAAAAGUUUUUUUUUUUUAAAUCAGUUACAAUAUUUUUUUUAAUACAUAGCCUUACAAUAACUUUAUUCAAUGUAUGAUAUAAGGCAGGCAUGAGAAGUAUAAAAGAGUAUACAUAGUUAAUUUGAAGUCCCUCGGAUGUGGUUACCAGUAGUGUACAUUACAUGUGUCCUCAUUCAUUAUAAUGUUAUAUAACAGGAUGCAGUGUGCAGUUAAAUAAAGAUCCUUUUAAUUGUUUGUGGUGAAGUGUUUAUGGUUUUCCUAACAAUCAUAAUGAACUGAAACUAAAUUUUUCCCUUUUAGCUCUCCUUGAGCACAAUGUGUCUUAAGAUGAGCUGUUUUGAUACCAGAGUCCUUCUGCUGUCCAACCAUUUUACUGUGAACACUCGAGGAGUCACAAUUUUUGCCAAGUCUUGAAACUUGUUCAGAAUGUUUCCCUCAGAAAAAUCACAGACAAAUUUGAAACAGAGUUGUCUGGGAUAAAAAGCAAGUUCACAAGGUCAGAUCAUAGAAAAACUUAACAUGGUAACUUGUUUUAGGCCACAUUUUUCUAUUUGAUCUUCAUAAAACAUUUUUCAGUAUUUCAUGUCUCUUUGAAAUCUAGGUGAAUUUUAUAACUGGGUUAACUGAGGUCAGAAACUAGGUCAUAAGGAUAGGAAAACUUUGUAAACACUUCAGACUUGAUCAGUCAGAAUGACUGUUUCUAUGAAUCUAGGGUGUGUUAAAAACUGGGUUACAUGUUGACAAAAACUAGAUCACUCUGUAUAAUAAUAGAAAACCUUUAAAUACUAUUUUCUUCUUAGUCAUCGUAUGUUUCUAAUAGAGUGUUUCUCUCUGUAAAAUGUAGGUCAAGAUAAAAACUGGCUUACUUGAGGUCUAAAACAAGGUCACAAGGUUUAUAAUAGAAAAAAACAUUGUUAUUUAUAUUCUAGAGCCCAUAUUUUCUUCUUUGCUUCAUAAAACUUAUGUCAGAAUGUUUACCAGAGUGUUUGACUUUAUAAAAUGAAGUUUAAAACUGAGUUGCAUGAGAUCUUAAAUUAAAAUCAUUUUGUUAACACACUAAGCUACAUUUUCUUUUAAACCAGGUUAUAUAAGUAAAUAACUGUAUCACUAUUUCAGAUAGUAGAAAACCUUGUUACAACUCACUGGGGGCCACACCUUGCGCAUGCUCUUCAUCAAACUUAGAAUGUUUGUGUCUAUGAAAUCUAGGUCAGUUUUGAAACUGGAUUAUCUUAAGGGCAAAAACUUGGUUGCUAAGUCAAAUAAUAACAAACCUUGUUAACACUCGAGAGGCCACUUUUUCUUUUAAUGAAAUUUUGUCCGUUUGUCUGUUUAAAAUAGAGCUUAAUUUAUGAAAUUUGGUCCAACGCGAAGGUAAGAACUAGUGUAGGUGAGCCAUAUAAGGCCUUUAGACCCUCUUGUUUUACUAAGUUACGGUAUAUGCGUUGACAUGGAAAUUUUUUCUGGCUACUUCUAAAUUUUAGACUCCAAAAAGUGCAAAAGAUGCUAUUAAUAAUCUUUUUGGUUAGCAAAAGAUGUACUUUUAAUUGUAUUAAGUGUCAAAUAUAUUGACCUACAUUUUUGCAGAAAUACAGAGAUGCAGUGCAGAUGUAAAUGUUCUAGGAGUAUUCACCUGACAACUGUAUUGAAUAGCUAUUAUGAAUUCAUUUUUUCCUUCUUAUGUCAAUUUUGAAUGUUUUAUCUGAAGCAAUGUAUGAGUUGCUAAGCAACAUUUGUGCAAUACUUGAUUUAUUUUGUGAUGAUUUUGUGUAACUGUAUCUGUUAGGAAUCAGAGUGACCUUUCUGAUAAAGGGUGCACACCUGAUAAUAAAGUGAUUAUAUCUACACAAUUCAUUGGUGUUCUAACAACCUACAUUGUAACAAUAGCCACUUCUCCCAUUACAUUGCAGACUGCACCCAUUUUAAGCUUAUCUGAACUUUAUUCAGGUGACCUACUAGUAAACAUGGAUGGCCCACCAUCAAUUGCCCUGCAUCUGUUUUUAGCCCAACUACAUAGGCAAUAGGUAGAGAUUGCAUUCAGCCAUGUGUUGUCACCAGCAUCUGCAUUUUUUAUGGAAGCAGGCAUCUCAGUAUCCAUUGAUAGGGAUGGAUUGAAACUUCUCAGACUUGUUCUCUUUGAUGAUCUGACAUACAGAGCGUAGGUUCCAUAACUCUAUUUUGCAUUUUUCAAAGUUAUGGCCCAUUUCUGACUUAGCUAUUUUUAUGUAAGCUGGUUAUGAACUGCUUGAUGGAUCUUCACCAAACUUGGUCUAUAUCCUCUUUUAAGUUUAUUUGCAUAUUUUAGGGGCCCUUAGAGCUAAAAACUGGAAAAAAAUCUAUACACAUCAAACUUGGCAAGUAGUAUGUUUGCGCACACUUUCCUCAGGUUUGUUCUAAUGGUUUUGUUUGGUCCCUUUUACGGGCUCUCAGAGCUAAAAAUAGAGAAAAAGAGCAAUUUAACAGCUUCCUCCCAUGAACCACUAUAUACCAUGAUCUGCAGCAUCCUAUUAUGGACCUCUUUCUAGCUUUUUUUUUUCAAAUGGUUGUGCUUGGUCCUUUUGAGGGAAUAGAAAAAGCCUUUUUAACAACUCACAAGCCACAUGAUGGAUUUUAACUUGACUGGGUCUGUUUAGAUUACUGUCACCUUUAAUCAUAUGGUUCUGCUUGAAUCCUUUUAAGGGUUUAAUAAAACAAUCAGAACUUUAAACAAUUUCUUACCAUUAACUGCUUGAUGGAUCAAUAACAAAUAUGGUCUGUAUCAUAAAUGAAUGACCCCUCCCUCUCUGAGAGUCUCUCAGGUUUAUACAGAUUGUUCUGUUAUACCCCUUUUAAAUGAUUUCUUAUGAACCAGUUGUUGGAUUUUCACCAAACUUGGUAUGUAUCAUUCUUGUAUGAAAUUCUCUUAAUUUUAUUUAAAUGGUUCCCCGUUACACCAAAGGGGCUACCCAAGCUGAAAAUAGACAGAAAGGAUCUGCAUCAACUUGGUCAUUAGUGCAGACUUCUGUCAGUUUUGUUCAUAAUAUUAUUAUGGUGUUGUUUGUCCCCUGAAAUAGACUACCAGAGCUGAAAAUAUUGCUGCUGAUCAACCGCUUUGAAAAACUUCUCUAAACUUUGUCUGUAGCAUCUUUAGAUGAGCCUUUCUCAAUUUUAUUCAUGUAAUUCUGCUUGACUGAAGGUUGUCUAUAUUUUGAAGUAUAAUUUCUAUAUGUAUGUAUAGGUAUUAGAUACUUAAAACUCAGAAUAGCCACUUGUCUGUAUGGAAAACCCAUAUUUUUGGUAGGCCAUGACUAAUACAGUGCUGUUAGAAAAUUUCUUAACUUGAAUGUAUGGGACAAUGAUGUAUGGGGCAAUGGUGUAUAGUAUUGAAUGUCCAAUGAAUUCUUCUUAUAAAUCAGUCUUUGGGUCAUUAGGACAACUUUUGUUGGCACAGAUGUUUCUUGGUACAAUAUUGGGUAAAUUCUACAAUAAAUAAUUCAUAUAUGGAUGACACUAAAGACUGUAUUGAUGCACUUAAAUACUGUUGUAAUGUAAACCUUUGUCAUUGACAGCAAGGUUAAAAACACUUAAGUUUUGUCGAUACGGCUUUAGAUGGGAAAAUUGCACUUUCGCUAGUGUUGUUUGAUGGGAAAAUUGCACUUAUGCUACAGUGUUGUUUAUUCUGUUUUAUUUCUUAUGUUGAAUAAAAAACAAUAUGAUAUACAUAAAGAAAAUACUGCUUGUUAGCUCACCUGAGCACAAAGUGCUCAAGGUGAGCUUUUGUGAUCGCCCAGUGUCCGUCGUCGUCCGUCCGUCGUCAACAAUUUGACUGUUAACACUCUAGAGGUCACAAUUUUGACCUAAUGUUAAUGAAAUUUGGUCAGAAUGUUACCUUCAAUAAAAUCUUGGACUAGUUCGAUAUUGGGUCAUCUGGGGUCACAAACUAGGUCACCAGGUCAAAUCAAAGGUAAAGCUUGUUAACACUCUAGAGGUCACAAUUUGGCCCAAUCUUAAUGAAACUUGGUCAGAAUGUUACUCUCAAUAAAAUCUUGGACAAAUUCGAUAUUGGGUCAUCUGGGGUCAAAAACUAGGUCACCAGGUCGGAUCAAAGGAAAAGCUUGUUAACACUCUAGAGGUCACAAUUUUGGCCCAAUCUUAAUGAAACUUGGUCAGAAUGUUACCCUCAAUAAAGUCUUGGACGAGUUCGAUAUUGGGUCAUCUGGGGUCAAAAACUAGGUCACCAGGUCAAAUCAAAGGAAAAGCUUGUUAACACUGUAGAGGUCACAUUUUUGACUGUAUCUUCAUGAAACUUGGUCAGAAUGUUAAUCUUGAUGAUCUCAAGGUCCAGUUUGAAUCUGUGUGAUGUAGGGUCAAAAACUAGGUUACUAAGUCAAAUCAAAGGAAAAGCGUGUUAACACUCUAGAGGUCACAUUUAUGACCACAUCUUAAUGAAACUUGGUCAGAAUGUUAAUCUUGAUGAUCCAUAGGUCAAGUUCAAAUCAGGGUCAGGUGGGGUCAAAAACUAGGUCACCAGGUUAAAUAAAAGGAAAAGCUUGUUAACACUCUAGAGGUCACAUUUAUGACUGUAUCUUCAUGAAACUUUAUCUGAAUGUAAAUCUUGAUGAUCUUUAGGUCAAUUUUGAAUCUGGGUCAUGUUGGGUCAAAAACUAGGUCACCGUGUCAAAUCAAAGGAAAAGGUAGUUAACACUUUAGAGGCUACAUUUAUGACCAUAUCUUAAUGAAACUUGGUCAGAAUGUUGAUUUUGAUGGUCUUUAGGUCAUAGGUCAGGUGAGCGAUACAGGGACUUCAUGGCCCUCUUGUUUUUUCUUAACAUGUUUAGUAAAUCAAGCAUGAGAUAGAUAGAAAAUUAAAAAGCUGAGGGUAGUGCUUCAGACUCCUUUUUAGCUCAUCUGAUUUUUUGAAAAAAAAAAGAUGAGUUAUUGUCAUCAAUUGAUCGGCGUUGGCAUUGCCUGCUUAAGUUUUAUGUUUAGGUCAGGUUUUCUCCUAAAAUAUCAAAGCUGUUGCUUUGAAACUUGCAACACUUGUUCACCAUCAAUAGUUGACUUUGUACAGCAAGAAGCAUGACUCCGUCCUGCUUUUUGCAAGAAUUAUGGCCCCUUUUGUACUUAGAAAAUAUCAGAUUUCUUGGAUAAGUUUUAUGUUUAGGUCAACUUUUCUCCUAAACUAUCAAAGAAAAUUUUUUAAAAAUUAGAUUAGCGUCUGCACCCGCAAGGCGGUGCUCUUGUUCAAGUCUGUUUUUAAAUGACUUUUGUGUCACUUUAUCCAAAUAUUCUAUAAGUUAGAAAAGUGGGUAAUUUAAAAAAAAAAUUGGAACAGACUUUAUUAUAUAUCUAAACAUGUUUAAAGGAGACUUUGGAUGUUUGUUAAGAAAUGGAAAAGAACAUUUCAGAAAAGACAUUACUUAUCACUAUGGACAUCUUAUUCUGUAUUAAGCAGUUACUGUAAUCAGAAUGUUGUUUGUAAUAAACAAUCUUGUCCAAGGAAAUAAUUUAAAGGUAUUAGUUAUAUGAUAGAUGGAGCAUUAUGCAAGUCAAUUGUUCCUUGAACAAGUAGAACUUCAUGUUGUGUGUUAACGGUACCCUGCAUUCUACGUAAGACCUGUUGCUGAUGUAUAUUCUGUAACAGAUAAAACCAAGUAUUUCUUUUUAUUCUAUACCAUUUUUUUUUUUCACAGUGAUUUGCAUUUUCACAAUGCCACAAUAUAUUUUCUUUUCAGAUACAGUAUAUUCUGUUUUGGACAAUACAACUUUUGUGAACUAAAUGAUAAAAUGCUGUUGACUCAUGAAAUGAAAACAUCAAUAAACAUUUGGCAUUCUUUCAAUAUCAGUUGUUUCAAUCACAAUAAAGUUGGAAUUGUGCUACCUGCUACCAGUUUUUGCUUUUCAUUUUAACAGAAAAAAUUUAGAAUGAAAAAACAGAAUUUAGCAUUUUCCUCUAUCAUUAUAGGAUAUAUUUUGACUACCCAUCCAAAAACAGUGGGUGCGACACUAACCUAAUUUUACAGAACUUUUUUAAACUAAAAAUACAGGCAGCUUCAAUGUAAGUUUGAAUAUUAAGAUUAUUUGAAAUGUUUAGUUUUAUAAAUGUAACAGCUUUGAUAAACAAAUGUUUGAUUAUGUACACACAUGUGAAAUUUGAUUUGCUGUCUUUUAGAAGGUAUUGAUGUGGAAUAUUUUAAUUUCUUUGGAUGUUUAGUACUUGGCUAAAUGUACAUGAUUUCAUUGUUUUAUCAUCACUGGAUCACUAUUAAAAGGUUGAUGUAAUAAAAUUUGAAUACUUUGCAA